rnacentral:rRNA from 1 species
CGAAGCGUGCGAUUGGAUUGCACGUCUAAGCAGUAAGGCUGAGUAUUAGGCAAAUCCGGUACUCAUUAAGGCUGAGCUGUGAUGGGGAGAAGACAUUGUGUCUUCGAGUCGUUGAUUUCACACUGCCGAGAAAAGCCUCUAGAUAGAAAAUAGGUGCCCGUACCGCAAACCGACACAGGUAGUCAAGAUGAGAAUUCUAAGGUGAGCGAGCGAACUCUCGUUAAGGAACUCGGCAAAAUGACCCCGUAACUUCGGGAGAAGGGGUGCUCUUUAGGGUUAACGCCCAGAAGAGCCGCAGUGAAUAGGCCCAAGCGACUGUUUAUCAAAAACACAGGUCUCUGCUAAACCGUAAGGUGAUGUAUAGGGGCUGACGCCUGCCCGGUGCUGGAAGGUUAAGAGGAGUGGUUAGCUUCUGCGAAGCUACGAAUCGAAGCCCCAGUAAACGGCGGCCGUAACUAUAACGGUCCUAAGGUAGCGAAAUUCCUUGUCGGGUAAGUUCCGACCCGCACGAAAGGCGUAACGAUUUGGGCACUGUCUCAACGAGAGACUCGGUGAAAUCAUAGUACCUGUGAAGAUGCAGGUUACCCGCGACAGGACGGAAAGACCCCGUGGAGCUUUACUGUAGCCUGAUAUUGAAAUUCGGCACAGCUUGUACAGGAUAGGUAGGAGCCUUUGAAACGUGAGCGCUAGCUUACGUGGAGGCGCUGGUGGGAUACUACCCUAGCUGUGUUGGCUUUCUAACCCGCACCACUUAUCGUGGUGGGAGACAGUGUCAGGCGGGCAGUUUGACUGGGGCGGUCGCCUCCUAAAAGGUAACGGAGGCGCUCAAAGGUUCCCUCAGAAUGGUUGGAAAUCAUUCAUAGAGUGUAAAGGCAUAAGGGAGCUUGACUGCGAGACCUACAAGUCGAGCAGGGUCGAAAGACGGACUUAGUGAUCC